AGUGGGGAAUUUUGGACAAUGGACGCAAGUCUGAUCCAGCAAUGCCGCGUGCGGGAAGAAGGCCUUCGGGUUGUAAACCGCUUUUGUCAGGGAAGAAAUCUUCUGGGUUAAUACCUCGGGAGGAUGACGGUACCUGAAGAAUAAGCACCGGCUAACUACGUGCCAGCAGCCGCGGUAAUACGUAGGGUGCGAGCGUUAAUCGGAAUUACUGGGCGUAAAGCGUGCGCAGGCGGUUAUGCAAGACAGAUGUGAAAUCCCCGGGCUCAACCUGGGAACUGCAUUUGUGACUGCAUAGCUUGAGUGCGGCAGAGGGGGAUGGAAUUCCGCGUGUAGCAGUGAAAUGCGUAGAUAUGCGGAGGAACACCGAUGGCGAAGGCAAUCCCCUGGGCCUGCACUGACGCUCAUGCACGAAGGCGUGGGGAGCAAACAGGAUUAGAUACCCUGGUAGUCCACGCCCUAAACGAUGUCAACUGGUUGUUGGGAAGGUUCCUUCUCAGUAACGAAGCUAACGCGUGAAGUUGACCGCCUGGGGAGUACGGCCGCAAGGUUGAA
rnacentral:rRNA from 1 species